rnacentral:lncRNA from 1 species
CCAUACGCGUAUGGUCGCACCGUAUGAGUAUACGCGUAUGGUCCAGUACGAGCUGAUUAUACAUGUUAUUGGAUCAUAUGGGUUAAAUUUAAACAAACAUUUAUCACAAUCUUUAUUUAAAGUUUUACAAAUUGUUGUUAUUACAAUUAGAUGGAUAAAAUGAACAAACGAACAAUUGAAAUUAAAUAUUUGUUUAAUUGUAUAUCUGAAUCCUAUUUUGGUACUCUCGCCCAAGGUGACACA